UACAGAGGGGGCAAGCGUUGUUCGGAAUUACUGGGCGUAAAGGGCGCGUAGGCGGCCUUCUAAGUCGAACGUGAAAUCCCCGGGCUCAACCCGGGAACUGCGUCCGAUACUGAAAGGCUUGAAUCCGGGAGAGGGAUGCGGAAUUCCAGGUGUAGCGGUGAAAUGCGUAGAUAAUCUGGAGGAACACCGGUGGCGAAGGCGGC
rnacentral:rRNA from 1 species